UGGGGAAUUUUGGACAAUGGGCGCAAGCCUGAUCCAGCAAUGCCGCGUGAGUGAAGAAGGCCUUCGGGUUGUAAAGCUCUUUCAGUCGAGAAGAAAAGGUUGUGACCAAUAAUCACAACUCAUGACGGUAUCGACAGAAGAAGCACCGGCUAACUACGUGCCAGCAGCCGCGGUAAUACGUAGGGUGCGAGCGUUAAUCGGAAUUACUGGGCGUAAAGGGUGCGCAGGCGGUUUUGUAAGUCAGAUGUGAAAUCCCCGGGCUUAACCUGGGAACUGCGUUUGAAACUACAAGACUAGAGUGUGGCAGAGGGGGGUGGAAUUCCAUGUGUAGCAGUGAAAUGCGUAGAGAUAUGGAAGAACAUCGAUGGCGAAGGCAGCCCCCUGGGUUAACACUGACGCUCAUGCACGAAAGCGUGGGGAGCAAACAGGAUUAGAUACCCCGGUAGUCCCUGAGCGGGCUGGCAAGGCGCAU
rnacentral:rRNA from 1 species